CAGCAGCCACGGGAAUACGUAGGGUGCAAGCGUUAAUCGGAAUUACUGGGCGUAAAGCGUGCGCAGGCGGUCCGCUAAGACAGAUGUGAAAUCCCCGGGCUUAACCUGGGAACUGCAUUUGUGACUGGCGGGCUAGAGUAUGGCAGAGGGGGGUAGAAUUCCACGUGUAGCAGUGAAAUGCGUAGAGAUGUGGAGGAAUACCGAUGGCGAAGGCAGCCCCCUGGGCCAAUACUGACGCUCAUGCACGAAAGCGUGGGGAGCAAACAGGAUUAGAUACCCCUGUAGUCCCUGUCUCUUAUAC
rnacentral:rRNA from 1 species